rnacentral:lncRNA from 1 species
CCAUGAAAGGUAAUCUCACUCUUCUUUUAAUUAUUUUUAGAUCCGUUGGCUGAAUGCCUUUUAGUCUGCAUACAUGCAUCUCAUACCGCACAGCCCAAAUUUCUACAACUUGUCCAGGUGCAGUCUCCUCAGAACUACAAAGCAAGAAAAGAUCACCUUUGGGCUCAGGAACUCACAGUCGUUCUCCCUCUCCCGGAAGGCACAAUGACCAGGACAGUACCGAGCUUUGCAGCCAUAUUGAACUCACCAUCAACUCAGCACAUUCAACUCAAUCAGUCAAAAUCGCCUUUUCCUGCUGGUAAAUAACACUGAAAUUGUGGGAAGAUGGGAUGGUAAGAACAAAGUCUGUCUCUGGAAGCACGGGUGCUGUCUCUGAAGACAAAUUGAUCGUAACACAAGCAGACCCGGUGGAACGACCUCCAUGCUGAACCCUCAGCUCCCCCUGCAUUUGGACCAUGGCCUGAUGGAAGAUAAAGAGACUGAUCUCAGAGUGGUACAGAUCUACAACCACGUGAAGAAUUGGAUUUAUAUUCAUCUGACUCCAGAAAGUUCCUGAGAUUCCUCUGCUUCAUCAUCUUUCCCAUGCCCUUUAAAACACGUUAUCAAAUAGCAACAGGUGGUGCAAUAA